ACUUUUGAACUCAAAAUGCCAUGCUUUGUUAAAUCAAAGUAACACAUGGAAUCUAGAAGCAAUUAAGAUGUUGGCUUAAGAGUGACUAGGAUCAAACUGAGAGUGCCCCGCAUGGCUGCCUGCACUGCUGCUGUGUGUGCUGUGAUGGAGGUGCUCACUGUGGAAGCAGCUAAAAACCUGGAGAUCAUUUUGGCAGCUGGACCCACCAGAUAAGCAAAUGUGGAAUGUGAUCUAUCAGAUCUCCAGGCUGCCAGCAGCAGGCAUCAACCCCAUGGCUGCCAAUGGAAGCUGUUACUGGUCUUCGGAAGAAGUCAGCAUUUAAACAAGAGGCAGGAGAUGAAUGCAAGGUGAGCACAGAACAGUUGUACAGAGC
rnacentral:lncRNA from 1 species